AGCGAACGCUGGCGGCAGGCCUAACACAUGCAAGUCGAACGGAGUGGCGGACGGGUGAGUAACACGUGGGAACGUGCCCUUUGGUUCGGAACAACUCAGGGAAACUUGAGCUAAUCCCGGAUGCCAUUGGAGCGGCCCGCCUCUGAUUAGAUGGUUGGUGAGGUAAAGGCUCACCAAGGCGACGAUCAGUAGCUGGUCUGAGAGGAUGAUCCGCCACAUUGGGACUGGGACACGGCCCAAACUCCUACGGGAGGCAGCAGUGGGGAAUGUUGCGCAAUGGGCGAAAGCCUGACGCAGCCAUGCCGCGAGAGUGAUGAAGGUCUUAGGAUUGUAAAAGUCUUUCACCGGGGACGCGGUACCCGGAGAAGAAGCCCCGGCUAACUUCGUGCCAGCAGCCGCGGUAAUAC
rnacentral:rRNA from 1 species